UAGGGAAUCUUCCGCAAUGGACGCAAGUCUGACGGAGCAACGCCGCGUGAGUGAAGAAGGAUUUCGGUUCGUAAAACUCUGUUGUUAGAGAAGAACAGCGCAUAGAGUAACUGUUAUGCGUGUGACGGUAUCUAACCAGAAAGCCACGGCUAACUACGUGCCAGCAGCCGCGGUAAUACGUAGGUGGCAAGCGUUGUCCGGAUUUAUUGGGCGUAAAGCGUGCGCAGGCGGUCAAUUAAGUCUGAUGUGAAAGCCCCCGGCUCAACCGGGGAGGGUCAUUGGAAACUGGUUGACUUGAGUGCAGAAGAGGAGAGUGGAAUUCCAUGUGUAGCGGUGAAAUGCGUAGAUAUAUGGAGGAACACCAGUGGCGAAGGCGACUCUCUGGUCUGUAACUGACGCUGAGGCUCGAAAGCGUGGGUAGCAAACAGG
rnacentral:rRNA from 1 species